rnacentral:rRNA from 1 species
ACUGUGGCGGCGUGCUUAACACAUGCAAGUCGAACGCGAAAUUUUUUCUUCGGGAAAAAGAGUAGAGUGGCGCACGGGUGAGUAACGCGUAAGUAAUCUACCCUGGCAUCUGGAAUAACUCAGCGAAAGUUGUGCUAAUACCGGAUACGUUGGAGACAAGAAAGGUGGCCUCUGUUUCAAGCUACCGUGCUGGGAGGAGCUUGCGUACCAUUAGCUAGUUGGUGGGGUAAUGGCCUACCAAGGCGACGAUGGUUAGCGGGUCUGAGAGGAUGAUCCGCCACACUGGAACUGGAACACGGACCAGACUCCUACGGGAGGCAGCAGUGAGGAAUAUUGCGCAAUGGGGGCAACCCUGACGCAGCGACGCCGCGUGGAUGAUGAAGGCUUUCGGGUCGUAAAAUCCUGUCAGUUGGGAAGAAAUUACAUAUGGUUAAUAUCCAUAUGUAUUGACGGUACCUUCAAAGGAAGCACCGGCUAACUCCGUGCCAGCAGCCGCGGUAAUACGGAGGGUGCAAGCGUUGUUCGGAAUUACUGGGCGUAAAGCGCGCGUAGGCGGCUUUUUAAGUCAGAUGUGAAAGUCCAUGGCUCAACCAUGGAAGUGCAUUUGAAACUGGAGAGCUUGAGUAUCAGAGGGGAUAGUGGAAUUCCCGGUGUAGAGGUGAAAUUCGUAGAUAUCGGGAGGAAUACCGGUGGCGAAGGCGACUAUCUGGCUGAAUACUGACGCUGAGGUGCGAAAAGCGUGGGGAGCAAACAGGAUUAGAUACCCUGGUAGUCCACGCCGUAACGAUGUCAACUAGGUGUUGGAGUGGUUAAUCGCUUCAUUGCCGGAGCUAACGCAUUAAGUUGACCGCCUGGGAGUACGGUCGCAAGAUUAAAACUCAAAGAAUUGACG